rnacentral:rRNA from 1 species
UACGGGGGGGGCAAGCGUUGUUCGGAAUUACUGGGCGUAAAGGGCUCGUAGGCGGCCAACUAAGUCGGAUGUGAAAUCCCCAGGCCUAACCUGGGAACUGCAUCCGAUACUGGCGGGCUUGAAUCCGGGAGAGGGAUGUGGAAUUCCAGGUGUAGCGGUGAAAUGCGCAGAUAUCAGGAAGAACACCAAUGGCGAAAGCAGCUUUCUGGGACGGUACUGACGCUGAGACGCGAAAGCGUGGGGAGCGAACAGG